rnacentral:rRNA from 1 species
UACGUAGGGUGCGAGCGUUAAUCGGAAUUACUGGGCGUAAAGCGUGCGCAGGCGGUUAUGUAAGACAGAGGUGAAAUCCCCGGGCUCAACCUGGGAACUGCCUUUGUGACUGCAUAGCUGGAGUACGGUAGAGGGGGAUGGAAUUCCGCGUGUAGCAGUGAAAUGCGUAGAUAUGCGGAGGAACACCGAUGGCGAAGGCAAUCCCCUGGACCUGUACUGACGCUCAUGCACGAAAGCGUGGGGAGCAAACAGGAUUAGAUACCCUGGUAGUCCACGCCCUAAACGAUGUCAACUGGUUGUUGGGUCUUAACUGACUCAGUAACGAAGCUAACGCGUGAAGUUGACCGCCUGGGGAGUACGGCCGCAAGGUUGAA